UGGGGAAUAUUGGACAAUGGGCGAAAGCCUGAUCCAGCAAUGCCGCGUGAGUGAUGAAGGCCUUAGGGUUGUAAAGCUCUUUUACCCGGGAUGAUAAUGACAGUACCGGGAGAAUAAGCUCCGGCUAACUCCGUGCCAGCAGCCGCGGUAAUACGGAGGGAGCUAGCGUUGUUCGGAAUUACUGGGCGUAAAGCGCGCGUAGGCGGCUGCUCAAGUCAGAGGUGAAAGCCCGGGGCUCAACCCCGGAACUGCCUUUGAAACUAGGUAGCUAGAAUCUUGGAGAGGUCAGUGGAAUUCCGAGUGUAGAGGUGAAAUUCGUAGAUAUUCGGAAGAACACCAGUGGCGAAGGCGACUGACUGGACAAGUAUUGACGCUGAGGUGCGAAAGCGUGGGGAGCAAACA
rnacentral:rRNA from 1 species